UGUUACCGCAAAGAGCUGGCCAGCGGACAUGAAAAUAUUGAACUUAUGAUGGAAAAAUUCAUGGGAAAAAUGCAGGGAUAAGACCUGCAUUUCUAAGGACCUAUCUGCUUCCUGAUGCAUGCUCCAGGUCUGAUUGGAAUUGGCCUUUAUUGGCAAAGCUCCCACCUCUAAAGCUGCAUGGCUUUGGGCUCAGAUGAGCACAUACAGGAAAGGUCUGCGUGGCUGUUUUUGAAGAGGAAGGAAGAAAAUCUUGUUGGUAGCACAAGGACAAAGGUGGCAACACACUAGAAAGGGUGUGCAACAAGAAUUUAAAAAUGGGUUUAACAACAGAUAUUCAGACGUGACGAAGAAAUUUAGCAGUAAGUGCAGGUAAGACAAGCUGUUCUGUAUAGGGAAAAUCUAUGGGAAAAUGGGAGUUGAGAGUAACAG
rnacentral:lncRNA from 1 species